GUGUAGCUCAAUGGUAGAGCAUGUGCUUAGCACAAGCAAGGCCCUGGGUUCAAUGCCCAGCAC
rnacentral:tRNA from 1 species